rnacentral:lncRNA from 1 species
CCCCAGCCACCUCCUCUGCCUCGUUCAAUCUAUGAAAGCCAAUCAUGUAUGAGAUCAAAACAAUUAUGGAGGCAACCAUGAAUCUCAGCGAGCACUGCAGGAUUGGAGGGUCUGUAUACAGAGCCAUAAUCGAUGGGCAGGUCUUAGCUGUAAAGAACACCAAGGAAGAUGUCACAGAGGAACUAAAUGUUCUGCAGAAGGUAAAUCAUGCAAAUCUAGUGAAACUAAUGGGCAUAUCGUCUGACCAUUUGGAGGCCUUUGGUUUUCCCAUGCCUCCCUUUGUCACACCACCUUCUUUAAAACUCAUUUUCCCAAAUCAAC